GUCAGAAUGAGAAGCCUGGCCAAGCUCUUAGAGAUCUAAGAGAAUGGAGAAGAAGGUGGGGUCACCAUGUAUUCACUAUUUGGUGGGCCUGCUCUGGUACCCGUUGAAAUAGAUGUUAUUUGAAAAAUCACUACAACCAUAACGUGAAAGUUAUUUUUCACAGGAGCAUUAAUUCUAUCUUAAGGAGCCAUAACUGGUAACAAAUAGUUUUGCUAUUGAAAUGGGACCGGUGCGGGGGGAUGCGGGGGACCCAGACUUAUUUGUGUGGUUGUUGUCCGCAGGUGUGUGAAUUGCAUAUUUAUUUGUUGUCCGAAGACAAAGCUUCCUGGAUGCAAAAGGGAUAGACCGUCCCCAGAGUUGGCUGAGCGCAGAGAGAAAUCCUUGACGUAAGUCCUCCUCCCUCCCCAGGGCAGCUUUGCACCCCAUCACUGAGGCGCUGUAGUUGGGGGGCGAGGAGAGAGGAUUAUUUCUUUCACUUCCGCAGUAGCUUGCCCUCACUUUUUCCUUGAAUAAGUGACUCUGUGGUGGUGCCAGCAUUCAUGGCUUUCCACAACCUGAGUUGUGCAGGGAACCACAGCUAUUUCCAGUAGAAUCAGACCCCAGCUGAGUAGCAUCCUGCCCUUUUCCUUUUUUCCCAGAACUGCAGAAAUGCCAACCGGCCUGGCACCAGGCACGAAGGAUGCACGCACGUCUCCUCUUCCCUGGUCCUCCCAGAAGCAAGUUCCCUUGGCUGACAACCCAGGGCACAACUCCUGCUUCCGUGAGUGCCUAAUACAAGAGUUGAAGCUCCCGGAGCCUUCUUUGAAAAAUGCCAUGCCUAAUGUUCUACUACAGAUGUUUGCCUUGAGUCAAAUAUGGAGCUUAUGUAAAAUUAUAUGUGGGUUGGUGAUUAUUCUUGAAAUGGAUGGCUACCCUUUCUUUAUGUUUUAAGCGACCCGGCAAGUAUGACCUGAUACCACUGAGAGAAUCACGAAAACGACCAAUAGCUAAACAUUUAAAACUCUUGAAAAUUUCCUCUUUUGUACCUUUUCAUCUUAACCACAGUAUUGCUGGAGAUUAUUCUUUGUGCUUAAUAUUAGAUAUUUAGCCCCUCUUUGUUUGAUAACCCAAAUGUUCUUUUAAAAAUCAUUUUACUGGUAUUUGAGAAAGAAGGAAAAUUUUGGAUUCUCUGCAUUUUGAGAUCUUUCCUAGAACUACAGUAAGUGUGCAGAAAAUCAGGUUUUAAUUUGUUCACAAAGGCCAAUGUGACACCGUCAGACCAGAGUUUUCCCUCUUUAGCUCUCAUGGGUCCUGGAGGCGAUGCUGUAGGGCACUGACUGUGACAGCCGGGGACACUGGGUCAUGUGCACCCUGAGAUUGUUUUCUGAGUUCCUCCCUUGCAGCUCCCAGGUGAAGAGAGUGCUGCUCCUGGCAUUACCCAUUCACUUGAUGUAAAGAAGUAUGGGGUCUAAAAUACUGCAUUUCACGUAAAACUGUUUGAUUAAAAAUCUUGGUUGUUUCCUUUCUUUUAUUUCCCUUUUAAAUCCUUUUGACUUGCGGAUAGCCAUAAAGGAAAUGAGCAGAAUAAACGAUGAUGUGACACUAUCA
rnacentral:lncRNA from 12 species